UGCGCAGGCGCACGCGGGGCCUUGGUGUAUAUAUAAGGAAGGGCCGCCAUCUACCUCGUCCUUUCGUUCCUGAGACGCGCUUUGUGCGUUAUGUCUUGCGCACGCAGUAUGUCUUGUGCACGCGAUAUGUCGCGUCCAUGCGGCAGUUAUUUGCAAAUAGUUGGCAUGGUCAAGCAGGACCGGAGAGGAGACGUCAUCUUUGAGCCUCCAGGAAGAUGAGAAUAACGUACGGUCUUGGACAUCUUAAGGUUUGCUGGCAGCUGAAUUGAAUGGAGGGUAAAUUCCGGAGUAAGAAAGGAUUGGCCUGAGGGAGCCAUGGAUACCAGUGUGUCUGAUCUCCCUUGAUUUCAGUGUCCUGAAACAGGCACUUCUCUGGACACAGACCUGUCUCCUGCUGGCCCCAUCCCACAAGGCAUUUGUACAUUUGGCCCAAGGACCUUGCAGGAUCUGAAGAGGAGUUUUUUUGUUUUGGACUGGGGUGUGGUAUGGUGUGCACUGCUACUGGAAAUACUGAAUAGCAGAAACCUUUGGCCUCUUAAUCUGUAGAAAUAAAAGUCUAACUAGG